UAUCAUAUAAGUGUAAAUUUCACACCGUAGGACUGAUGCGACUUGUCGGAUCGUUGGCGCUAACCAUUAAUCCCAAAAGCUCGAGCUGUUAGAAAUACGCAAUCAAUUCACUUAAAGCGUACAGGUACAGCGCCCACGGAUCUCGAUUGUGACUCGGUCCAUCCAGCCUCACGCCGCUUCGAACAUGACUCGGCCCAACCCAGGCUCACGCCAUUUCGAAUAUGACUCGGCCCAUAUGGCCUCCCGCCACAGGACAGGAUGCUGGUCUAUUUAAGCCAACAGUGACUCAUGCUUUCUAGCUUUUCUUAUUAAU
rnacentral:lncRNA from 1 species